GAUAAACGCUAGCGGCAGGCUUAACACAUGCAAGUCGAGGGGCAGCAUAGAUUGUAGCAAUACAAUUGGUGGCGACCGGCGCACGGGUGCGUAACGCGUAUGCAACCUACCCGUCACAGGGGGAUAAUCCGGAGAAAUCUGGUCUAAUACCCCAUAACAUAUGGAUCGGCAUCGGUUCAUGUUGAAAUUUUCGGAGGUGACGGAUGGGCAUGCGUAGCAUUAGCUUGUUGGUGAGGUAACGGCUCACCAAGGCGACGAUGCUUAGGGGGACUGAGAGGUUUUCCCCCCACACGGGUACUGGGACACGGACCAGACUCCUACGGGAGGCAGCAGUGAGGAAUAUUGGUCAAUGGGCGCAAGCCUGAACCAGCCAUGCCGCGUGCAGGAUGACGGCUCUAUGAGUUGUAAACUGCUUUUGUACGAGGGUAAAGUGGGUUACGUGUAACCUUUUGAAAGUAUCGUACGAAUAAGGAUCGGCUAACUCCGUGCCAGCAGCCGCGGUAA
rnacentral:rRNA from 1 species